UGUAAAUAUUUCAAAUCUUGUGAAAUUUUCUACUCUUUUCCUAUUACGGUUCGUGAGACACAACCUGCUGACAGACAGACAAACAGACAGACUGA